CCCAGCCCUGCCCUACACUACUGUUUCCUCACCCAGCCCUGCCCUGAACUAAUGUUUCUUCACCCGGCCCAGCCCUGCCACAGUCAUAAACUACUGUAAAGACCAUGAGACUGUUUCCUCACCCAGCCCCUGCCCUGAGCGUGCCAAAAGAGUCUUGAACCGGGAGACUUGAAAUGUUCUGCAGAACAUUCCCUGGAUUACUCAUUGUCCUGGCAAUACUAGUCAGGUGUUCACUGUUUGGGAUUCCACAUGGACCAGGAAGAAGAAAUUGACUGGACACAGGCAGGAACAGCAUGCCUCAUUCCCUUUGGAUUAGGGAGAACUUUGGGAGACGAUCAAUGAAAGACAUGGAAUCUGGCGCUUAGCUCUGUCAAAGUCAAUUUAUGAAUACUUGAUCCACAGUAUGUCACAAAUAAGAUACAUUUUGCACAUGAAUGUUACGAAAUAUUGUUGCUUGUAUUUUUGUAUAGCAUAACUUUAUAUGACCUAACUGAAAUAUAAUGGAAGGAAUGUGAUUUAGUAAAAGUGUACAAUUCUGUAUGUUGCUUUACACAAUAACAUACCUUAAUGAAAUUACAGUGUUACAUUUACCAGAUUAGAUUCUCUUUAAAUCUAGAGAUUACAUUUACCAGAGGUAUUAUCUCUUUAAAUCGAGAGACUACAUUUACCAGAUGUAUUAUCUCUUUAAAUCUAGAGACUACAUUUUCAGUAACAUUGCAGAAGACCCAUGUCUUUGAUCAUAUGGUGCGCAUCAUAACCCUUAUAUAGAUCCUAGCAUGUGAGGCUCACAUGCAACACCAAGCUUUAUACUGGCCCUGUUUCUGCGUCAUGUUGUGAAGAGGUUUUAUCACAUCUGAUCUUAGAACUGGAAAUCUGACAAACAAGCACUAAGAUGGAAUGUGACAUUUAUUUACAUAAAUACAUGCGAUGUCUGGUUAGUUAUAUGCAAAAAUUAUCAUGGCAAAUAAAGUUGUGAGAGAUAAAGGGGUAUUAUGACUUUCUCUGUCAGCAGUAUAAAGGUUGACCUAGGGAAUUAACCUUCUUAGCAUGUUUUAUUGAUAUCUAAUGAAUAUGUCAAGAAACCAUGGAAUGUUGCAUUAUUUAUGACCAAGUAAUAACUAUUCCUAUGAACCGCUAUAAAAUAUUGGUUGUUCCUUGUUUUCUCAGAGCUUGAUGACCGUGACUGCCUGGCUCCAUUGAAAUGGAAAAAGCUAAAAGAUGAUUUGAAACUAACCUGAUUAGUUUUGUGAGGAAUUGUAAAAAGGGCAGUUCAUAUUUGCUGAAUCUCCACCUUACCCAGAUCGCACAUUUGGUUCCUUGGAAGUCUUGGUUUCCCGAUUGGUUCUGGGAAUGGAGCCAUAAGUUUCCUGACCGGUAAAACUGAGCUAUUUUAAAUGUUCUGAGAACAGAAGUGAACAUUUUGCCUUUAGUUUAUUAGGGUCCCCAUUAGCUACAUCUGUCACGCCCUGGCCUUAGAUUGCAGUUUAUUUUCCCUUUUUGGGGGUUAGGUCAGGGUGUGAUGUGGGGUGGGCAUUCUAUGCCAGUCUAUGUGUUCUAUUUCUUUGUGUUGAGCCGAGUAUGGUUCCUAGUCAGGGACAGCUGUCUAUCGUUGUCUCUGAUUAGGAAUCAUACUUAGGCAGCCCUUUUCCCUCCUCCUGUGUGGGAUCUUGUUUUUGCACAGCUCUGUAAAGCCUGCAGAACGUGACAUUUGUGUUUCUUUGUUUAUUGUUUGCUUUAG
rnacentral:lncRNA from 1 species